UCAACGCGGGAAAUCUUACCGGGUCCGGACACACUGAGGAUUGACAGGUAACGUUAUACACACAAAUAUAUUUACUCUCGGGUAUUUGUACUUCGCUGUGUAUAUAUAAAAUAUGCUAGUCCUUUCAUGAUUAUGUGAUAGGUGGUGCAUGGCCGUUCUUAGUUCGUGGAGUGAUCUGUCUGCUUAAUUGCGUUUCACUAAGGAUCUAUAUUCAUAUUACGCAUAGCAUUUUGACCCCUUUAUGCUUCGGUAUAAAGCUGCGCGUCAAACCUUGCUAUCUGCGUAUAUUAGAUCCUGAAAGCAACGAACGUGACCGCAACCUCUUGUUGCCUUUAACUAGGUUUUGCUUACAUAUA
rnacentral:rRNA from 1 species